rnacentral:rRNA from 1 species
CGUACACUCCUACGGAGGCAGCAGUGGGGAAUUUUGGACAAUGGGCGAAAGCCUGAUCCAGCAAUGCCGCGUGUGUGAAGAAGGCCUUCGGGUUGUAAAGCACUUUUGUCCGGAAAGAAAUCCUUGGCUCUAAUACAGUCGGGGGAUGACGGUACCGGAAGAAUAAGCACCGGCUAACUACGUGCCAGCAGCCGCGGUAAUACGUAGGGUGCGAGCGUUAAUCGGAAUUACUGGGCGUAAAGCGUGCGCAGGCGGUUUGCUAAGACCGAUGUGAAAUCCCCGGGCUCAACCUGGGAACUGCAUUGGUGACUGGCAGGCUAGAGUAUGGCAGAGGGGGGUAGAAUUCCACGUGUAGCAGUGAAAUGCGUAGAGAUGUGGAGGAAUACCGAUGGCGAAGGCAGCCCCCUGGGCCAAUACUGACGCUCAUGCACGAAAGCGUGGGGAGCAAACAGGAUUAGAUACCCGAGUAGUCCCAU